rnacentral:rRNA from 1 species
GACGAACGCUGGCGGCGUGCUUAACACAUGCAAGUCGAACGGAAAGGCCCCUUUUGGGUUACUCGAUUGGCGAACUGGUGAGUAACACGUGAGUAACCUGCCCUUGACUUCGGGAUAACUUCAGGAAACUGGGCCUAAUACCUGAUAGGAAUCCUUGCUGCAUGGUGGGGGUUGGAAAGCUUCGGCGGUUUUGGAUUGACUCGCGGCUUAUCAGCUUGUUGGUGGGGUAGUGGCUUACCAAGGCUUUGACGGGUAGCCGGCCUGAGAGGGCGACAGGCCACAUUGGGACUGAGAUACGGACCAGACUCCUACGGGAGGCAGUAGUGGAGAAGAGUGCACAAUGGGCGGAAGCCUGAUGCAGCGAAGCAGCGUGCGGGAUGACGGCAUUCGGGUUGUAAGCCGCGUUCAGAAGGGGCGAAGCUUGUGGUGACGGUACCGGCAGAAGAAGCACCGGCUAACUACGUG